rnacentral:lncRNA from 1 species
UGGCUAUAUUAUAUUUUAUUAUAUUAUAACACCAUGUGACUUAUGUACACAUACUUUACACAUGAUCAUUAAUGUCACUUCAAUAAUACACAAUAAACAACAGCAUAUGCUUAUUAGCCACUACACAAGCUAAUAAUUUAAACAACAUACUAUAAACAUUAAAACUAAAAUGACUGACUUUUCUGACUCAGAAAAAAUGCAUGAAAAUGGUCUUAAACUGAAUGCCACAUAUAUAUGCUAAUCUAUAUAUGAAUCUAUAUGAAACAAAAUGCUUCAUGACAGUGUAUAUACUAAAUGACUUGAAAAAUUGAGCAAAUAAAUUGUGAUUUGAAGAUCUUUUAAGAGUAAUAUGAAAAGAAUCUGCCCAAGUUCAAUGAAAGAUAGAGAAGGGAAAAAAGCUGCUAUAAAUAUAUAUCAACAUCAAGUGUGAUAUAUUUCUUCUCUGGGGGACAGCAAAAUUGAAAAAAAAUAAAACACCAGGCUUGACAAGCUUUUUCAAAUGUUAAAAACUUAACACACUAGAUCUAGAGUAGGGAAAUACCAUAUUGCAUGAGAUUUAAUGGUUGCAUCUAUUUCAUUUUAAGAUGAUAUGUAGACAAACUUAACCAUUCCUUUCAUGAUGUGAUGAGAUCAGACUUGAUCUCCCCCUUUUUUAUUGUAACAUCACCAUGUGAAAUUCAGAGAAAAUCAACAAAAAUUUAUGCCAUGAACCAACCACAAGAAAAUAAAUAACCAUCUCCAAGAAAAUGUCAAAUGGGCUUAGAAUUAGGGAAAUAACAGUACCAGGUAUAUGGUCAAAUGGGCUUAGAAUUAGGGAAAUAACGGUACCAGGUAUAUGGUCAAAUGGGCUUAGAAUUAGGGAAACCAGAUGCUCCGCAGGGCGUAGCUUUAUACGACCGCAGAGGUUGAACCCUGAACGGUUGGGGCAAGUAUGGACACAACAUUCAAGCUGGAUUCAGCUCUAAAUUUGGAUUGUGAUUAAAUAGUUGACACAGCAUAGGUUUCUGACACAGAAUGAAUGUGUUCUAAUGAACUUAAAAUUUUUGUUUUCUCUUAGAGCAAUUCACUAUGCUGUUGAAUAUUAAUCCUCUCAAAAAAAUGUUUGAAGAAAUUUUCUUUUUUAUUUAUGAAAUUUCAAAUGAGAAAAAUUGAACCCAAUUUUUUUAAUCACAUCCCCCUUUCCCUUAUUCCAAAACUAAUCUCAAUUAAAAUUUCUAAUGGAGUUUGCAACAAUAACUACUCAUUUAAAUACAUCAUAAAAUAUUAAGAUGUAAAAAAACUGCUUGUUAUCACUGAAUGGUAAAGAUUAUUUUAAUUUAUCAGUUUAUAAUUAAAAAAAAAUUUGCUAUUUCACAAUAUUGUGCAAUUAGAUAUUUCUUGCCAUUGCGCAAUACUGUGCAAUUGAAAAGACUUGCUAUUGCACAAUACUUAAUAUAAUAAUUUUAGAUCCUGAUUUGGACCAACUUGAAAACUGGGCCCAUAAUAAAAAAUGCCUUAAUGUAGACCAAUUUGAAAACGGGACCAAAAGUUAAGAAUCUACAUACACAGUCAUGACAGUUCGAUUCGGCAUAUCAAAGAACCCCAAUUAUUCAAUUUUGAUGAAAUCAAACAAAGUUUAAUUUUGGACCCUUUGGGCCCCUUAUUCUGUUGGGACCAAAACUCCCAAAAUCAAUACCAACCUUCCUUUUAUGGUCAUAAACCUUGUGUUUAAUUUUGGACCCCGAUUUGGACCAACUUGAAAACUGGGCCAAUAAUCAAGAAUCUAAGUACAUUUUUAGAUUCAGCAUAUCAAAGAACCUAACUGAUUCAUUUUUUGUCAAAAUCAAACUAAGUUUAAUUUUGGACCCUUUGGACCUUAAUGUAGACCAAUUUGAAAACAGGACCCAAAAGUUUAGAAAUCUACAUACACAGUCAUGACAGUUAGAUUCGCAUAUCAAAGAACCCAAUUAUUCAAUUUUGAUGAAAUCAAACAAAGUUUAAUUUUGGACCCUUUGGCCCCUUAUUCUGUUGGGACCAAAAACUCCCAAAAUCAAUACCAACCUUCCUUUUAUGGUCAUAAACCUUGUGUUUAAAUUUCAUAGAUUUCUAUUUACUUAUACUAACGUUAUGGUGCGAAAACCAAGAAAAAUGCUUAUUUGGGUCCCUUUUUGGCCCCUAAUUCCUAAACUGUUGGGACCUAAACUCCCAAAAUCAAUACCAACCUUCCUUUUGUAGUCAUUAACAUUGUGUUUAAAUUUCAUUGAUUUCUAUUUACUUAAACUAAAGUUAUUGUGCGAAAACCAAGAAUAAUGCUUAUUUGGGCCCUUUUUUGGCCCCUAAUUCCUAAACUGUUGAAACCAAAACUCCCAAAAUCAAUCCCAACCGUUCUUUUGUGGUCAUAAACCUUGUGUCAAAAUUUCAUAGAUUUCUAUUAACUUAAACUUAAAGUUAUAGUGCGAAAACCAAGAAAAUGCUUAUUGGGCCCUUUUUGGCCCCUAAUUCCUAAAAUGUUGGGACCAAAACUCCCAAAAAUCAAUUACCAACCUUCCUUUUGUGGUCAUAAACCUUGUGUUAAAAUUUCAUAGAUUUCCAUUCACUUUUACUAAAGUUAGAGUGCGAAAACUAAACUUAGAAUUAGGGAAAUAACGGUACCAGGUAUAUGCUUUUAUGUUUGUUUUGAUUAAUGUUCCCAUUAAAUCUGUCCCUGUACAAAAGGAUAGAAGCAUUAAUAAAAGUGACUAAGGAUAUGAAAUAAAAUCAGCAUUUAAUAGUAAAUAAGCCCCAACUAUUUUUGAAAAGGUACCUAUUGCACAAAAUAAUAUGAUUUUAUUCAAUUUAUAGCAAACACUGAUGUUAUGCAUUAAACAAGUAGGUGGUAUCUUGUGUCUACGUAAAUGCAAUUUUAGAAUGAACAAUACUGUGACCUAUUGUAGUUGUUGACCUCCAUGUUAUUUUGUCUCUGGUGGAGAGUUGUGUCAUUGACAAUCAUACAUUACCAUAUCUUAAUUUUUUUUAUGAUAUAAAAAUUAUAAGUUAAACUACUCUAAAACAAUGAGAUGGAUUUCAAUAGAACUUAACAUGAGAGAGGUAGUUCAUAUACAAAAUGUGCAUGAAAUAAUGCCAAUUGAAAAUGUAACAAGAUCAAGUGAAGCAUGUGCUAAAGUUAGCUAAACAGCUAUUUUUGUGCAAUAUGUAUGGCAUGUAUUCAUGGGGUUUCAAGCUUAAAGCUUAUCAUUUAGCAUGUUUUGUGCAGUCAGUAAAAAAGCAAUGUAGAAGCUUAUAAAAAAAGGUUGAAUUAAUUGUGAAAUGGCCAUUUUAUUUCCUGUUUGUGCAAGCAUAUACUCCCCUACCCCUCAUGUUAUCUUUUUAACAUAAUUCUGUAUCCUCAAAAUUACAAAUAAAAGAAUGAUACCUCAUAACAAGCCUUCAAAGGUAGUCAGAAUUAUAUAGACAGAUACUUGGUAACCUUCCAAUUAUCAAAAGGCUCACAAAUUGAGGAUCUUAUUCUUCUAAUAGAUCAAAGCACAGCAGCACUGAAAGGUAGUUUCAGUCUACUCGGUGUUUUUGUGAAUUCUAGUUUUCUAUCCUUAUCUAUAAAAUCUCACCUAAAAGAAAACGACAUUGAUCAAAUUCAGACAACUUACUUUGUCAUUUAAAUUUUUCUAGAAAAAGCAUUCUACAAUUGAGAUGUAAAAAGCAAAACUUUAAAUUAAUUAUUUAUCAAUAUUACAAGACAAAAUUAUUGAAUGAUUUAGAUCAAGCAUUUACUACAUUUGAAAAAGGAGUAUUAUUCGUUUAGAAAUUGCAUUGCUUUAAAUCACAAUAAUGAAAGUAAACUGUUCUGAGGACAAUUGCAAAAUUGAGAUCACCAGUGUUAAUAAUGAAAAAACAACAACCAAUUCUCACAAAAAAGGAAUAUUGGUUGGAGAACUUGUAUUGCUUUGAUGCUGGGCAACUGUUGUAAUUCCAAUUCCAAAGAUAAGUUAAUUUUAAGAUUAGCUUUCAUACUGAUUUUUUUUUAAUUUUGAAGCAUCUUAUAAUUAAGAUCAUUUUAAUUAAUAAACAGUUGUAGAUUAUUUUUGCUGUCCUGUUAAAAGUAGAAACUUAAUAGAUAAAUGAAAUAAAUAACACAAGGGAAACUUAGCUGGGUAACAUUUUGUAGUAAUUAAAAUCUGUCUAAUCUACUUUAACUACUUUUUACAAAAUAUUUGCCCUAUUCAUACUUUACAUGUGAACAAAAAUAUACAAUACAGUUGAUGUCAGAAAAAGAGUUCUACUAUAUAGAAUAAUAUAUAUAUACAAUUGUGAUUUGGUGAUUUACUUAGAUAUUAAAGCUAUAAUUCAUAGAAUCACUGAACAAACCAUUACCGGAUAAUAAAAUCAAUUUAUUUUCAAUUAGACAAUGUCAAGAUAACACACUUUAUUUUUUUAAAAGUGAAUUAUAUUUAUCAAGUUUUUCAACUGUAUCUGCAUAGGUUACUUUUUAUAAAUUUAACAAACAUAAUUGUCUUGCAUUAUAACUAGUCUUUGGAACAAAAAUUCAAGUUUGGAAAUUCAAAACCUAUCAAUAAAAUAUUUCUAGAGGUAUCCAGUUUCAGACCAAACCAGGACCUGUUUCCGGGAAAGCCCAGAAAGGGAGAUCAUUUUUCAUUUUUUCAUAUUUUUUUUUUUUGCAGUAUUCCAUGAUAAGAUGGAACCUUACAAUUAUAUGUUAUCCAUGGGACAAUUAAUCUCUAUAGACAAAUC